rnacentral:rRNA from 1 species
GACGAACGCUGGCGGCGUGCUUAACACAUGCAAGUCGAACGCUGGAGCGCAGCUCUUGCUGUGUUGGUGAGUGGCGCACGGGUGAGUAACACGUGAGUAACCCGCCCCCUUCUUUCGGAUAACGCCCGGAAACGGGUGCUCAUACCCGAUAUUCACUUGUCUUCCCAUGGGGGCUGGGGGAAAGGGUUUUUUUGGUGGGGGAUGGGCUCGCGGCCUAGCAGCUUGUUGGUGGGGUGAUGGCCUCCCAAGGCUUUGACGGGUAUCCGGACUGAGCGGGUGACCGGUCACAUUGGGACUGAGAUACGGCCCAGACUCCGACGGGGGGCAGCAGUGGGGAAUAUUGCACGAUGGGCGCAAGCAUGAUGCAGCGACGCCGCGUGAGGGAUGGAGGCCUUCGGGUUGUGAACCUCUUUCGCUCAUGGUCAAGCCGCAACAAUGGUUGUGGUGAGGGUAGUGGGUAAAGAAGCGCCGGCUAACUACGUG